AUCCAUCUGAAGAGUCCCAAACAAGACGAAACGCGCGUUAUGGAU
rnacentral:hammerhead_ribozyme from 1 species